rnacentral:rRNA from 1 species
ACGGGGUGCAGCAGGCGCGAAACUUUACAAUGCGGGCAACCGUGAUAAGGAAACCCCGAGUGCCAGCAUAGGCUGGCUGUCCAUCAGUGUAAACAGCUGGUGCAGAAAGGGCCGGGCAAGACCGGUGCCAGCCGCCGCGGUAAUACCGGCGGCUCGAGUGGUGGCCGCUAUUACUGGGCUUAAAGGGUCCGUAGCUUGAUAUGCAAGUCCCUUGAGAAAUCCGCCAGCUUAACUGGCGGGCGUUCAGGGGAAAUUGCGUUUCUAGGGACCGGGAGAGGUGAGAGGUACUGCCGGGGUAGGAGUGAAAUCCUGUAAUCCCGGUGGGACCACCUAUGGCGAAGGCAUCUCACCAGAACGGGUCCGACAGUGAGGGACGAAAGCUGGGGGAGCAAACCGGAUUAGAUACCCGGGUAGUCCCAGCUGUAAACGAUGCGCGUUAGGUGUGUCAGUGACCACGUGUCACUGAGGUGCCGAAGGGAAACCGUGAAACGCGCCGCCUGGGGAGUACGGUCGCAAGGCUGAAACUUAAAGGAAUUGGCGGGGGAG